UACGAAGGGUGCAAGCGUUACUCGGAAUUACUGGGCGUAAAGCGUGCGUAGGUGGUUCGUUAAGUCUGUCGUGAAAGCCCCGGGCUCAACCUGGGAAUGGCGAUGGAUACUGGCGGGCUAGAGUGCGGUAGAGGAGAGUGGAAUUCCCGGUGUAGCAGUGAAAUGCGUAGAGAUCGGGAGGAACAUCAGAUGCGAAGGCGGCUCUCUGGACCAGCACUGACACUGAGGCACGAAAGCGUGGGGAGCAAACAGG
rnacentral:rRNA from 1 species